rnacentral:rRNA from 1 species
CAGCCGCCGCGGUAAUACGAAGGGUGCAAGCGUUAAUCGGAAUUACUGGGCGUAAAGCGUGCGUAGGCGGUUUGUUAAGUCUGCUGUGAAAUCCCCGGGCUCAACCUGGGAAUGGCAGUGGAUACUGGCAAGCUAGAGUGUGUCAGAGGAUGGUGGAAUUCCCGGUGUAGCGGUGAAAUGCGUAGAGAUCGGGAGGAACUUCAGUGGCGAAGGCGGCCAUCUGGGACAACACUGACGCUGAGGCACGAAAGCGUGGGGAGCAAACAGGAUUAGAUACCCGCGUAGUCCCUGUCUCUUAUAC